UGGAUCAAACCCAAGCACCCCCGGUGGUUCUAAUCCAAGCACCCCCGGUGGUUCUAACCCGAAUGCCCCUGGUGGAUCUAACCCAAGCACCCCUGGUGGUACCAAUCCGAGCACCCCUGGUGGUUCAAACCCUAGUACCCCUGGUGGUACCAAUCCGAGCGCCCCUGGUGGAUCUAACCCGAGCACCCCUGGUGGAUCUAACCCGAGCACCCCUGGUGGUUCUCCUAAUAACCCUGGAGCUUCUCCUAGCGGUCCAGGUGUACCAGAAUGCAAACCUAUUAUCAUUUACAGAAAUAAAAACCGACGUACCAAGGAUCGUUAUCUUUAUGUACCAGAAAUAAGAAUAACGGAACGUAAGGAAAGAGAAGAAAAGCGUAAACGUGAACGUGAAACUUACCGUUCAAGGCCUCGCUUGUGCGCAUGCCCUCCCAGGAGUUAAAGGCCAGUAUUGUUAGAAGAAUAUGAAGUGGAUCAGAUUGGAUCUUUAUCCUAACAACCUUUGCGAUACUACAGGACAUCAAACAUAAUAUUAUAUAACAUAUAUAUUUAAAAAAUGUAUUACUAAUAUCUUACUUUAAAAAUAUAUUGAGCAAGCAUAAACAAUUGUUUUUAUUUUAAUACUGUGCACACCAAGACAAAACAAUUACGAUGAAAAUAAAUUAAAAUUGUAUUGCUAAGUGUAUAAAUAUUCAUGUAUAUAGGUAGAUGUUUAAUAAUAAUU